rnacentral:rRNA from 1 species
CGGAUGAACGCUAGCUACAGGCUUAACACAUGCAAGUCGAGGGGUAACGAGAGGGAAGCUUGCUUUCCUUGUCGACGACCGGCGCACGGGUGAGUAACGCGUAUCCAACCUGCCCACAACUAGAGAAUAACCUUGCGAAAGUAAGACUAAUGCUCUAUAAUUUCCUUAGAUGGCAUCUGACGAGGAAUAAAGAUUUAUCGGUUAUGGAUGGGGAUGCGUCUGAUUAGCUUGUUGGCGGGGUAACGGCCCACCUAAGGCAACGAUCAGUAGGGGUUCUGAGAGGAAGGUCCCCCACAUUGGAACUGAGACACGGUCCAAACUCCUACGGGAGGCAGCAGUGAGGAAUAUUGGUCAAUGGGCGCAAGCCUGAACCAGCCAAGUAGCGUGCAGGAUGACGGCCCUAUGGGUUGUAAACUGCUUUUAUACAGGGAUAAAGUUAGUCACGUGUGGCUAUUUGCAGGUACUGUAUGAAUAAGGACCGGCUAAUUCCGUG